UCAGUGAGCUCCUUCAGGACCAUUUUUGCACACACCUUUCUCAUGCCAAGAUUGUCAGCUCAGACAUUCUCGUGAUGGGACACAAAAAUGGGCAACAACAAUGAAUACCGCUCAGCAAGACACCACCAUAUGUUGACACGAACACAUCUGUGACACACCAAUAUACCAAGAUUAUGAUGUACCUUACUGCAAUAUUAUUCCUAGAUUUGGAACUAUACAUAUCUCUGUUUUAAAUAAGACACGGUGCCUUUUCAAGGAUAAUAGAGACAAGUAGAAGAGAAAAAACAAAAAUCAAAUAUAAUAU